UGGGGUGUCGUCAAGCGGUAAGACAAUUGGUUUUUGGUCCAAUUAUUCGAGGGUUCGAAUCCUUCCACCCCAA
rnacentral:tRNA from 1 species